GCAAGUCGAACGCUCCGCAAGGAGAGUGGCAGACGUGUGAGUAACGCGUGGGAAUCUACCUAGUUCUGCGGAACAACAGUUGGAAACGACUGCUAAUACCGCAUACGCCCUACGGGGGAAAGAUUUAUCUGAAUUAGAUGAGCCCGCGUAAGAUUAGCUAGUUGGUUGGGUAAUGGCCUACCAAUGCGACGAUCUUUAGCUGGUCUGAGAGGAUGAUC
rnacentral:rRNA from 1 species